AUCAGCAUAAGACACUUGCUGCGCUGCUCUCACCCCGGAACAGUCAACCUGUCUCACUUGCACAGGCCAUGUCUGAGCCCCAGCAACAUGGCCACUUCCUCAAUUGAAACACCACUUUAUCCACCGACACUACACUCCCCUUUGUCCCAUGCCCUCGGAAUGCUGUUUUGGUAGUAGGGGUGGAGUUCUAUAGGGCGUACAGGUGAGAGGGAGGAGCUUGGAAACGAAAGAAGUGCCAAGAUACAGGAAAAGUAAAAGACGUAAAGAAUCCAAUCAUUCGCACAAAUGAAUCCAGAUAAGAACCAGAAUUAAGAGAGAAGUGGCCAAGAGACCAGACAAUGCCAGAGAGGAGCAGAUACCUGGAGAGGGAUGAGUAUAACGAGAUACAACAGCAGGGAGAGGGACCGCACUCAGGACAGAGGAAGCUCCUCACAUGAAGAGAGAGACCGGGAAAGGCAAAGAGAGAGAGAGUGGCAGAAGAGACAAAAUGGAUGAGAGAUACAGGGAUGAGAAGGGCUCUGGAGAUGACAGGAGGGACAGAGAGAAGGACUACUCUGACCGACAGCGGGAUAUGACACCCCGCUCUCACAAGGACCCACCACCUGACCACAGAGGCGGUAGUCAACAAGGACAACAGAGAGCCUAAGAGACCAUCUGACUGUCACAGAGUUGCUUCUACUGUUACCAUCCUGGGCAUGGGCAAUUCCACAGUAACAGAAUGAUUCAGAAACUCCGAUUUUUCACUUUAGAAUAUGUGCAAAACAAAAAACAAUCAUUGUAAAAUCAUAACAAACCAUACUGCACAACUCUAUGCACAAGGACUACUUAAUUUCCACCUUUUUUAUUAUUACAAAAACACAUUUACGGUUUGUGCUGUCGUUCUGUUACCAAACUUUGCAUCUACACUGUUCUUCAAGUAAAUGUGGUUUUGUCCAACGCAGACAUUUUUAUCUCAAUAUCAAAUUUCUGGGUAACAAUUUAGUACGUUACUGUGAUUGUUUUCAAUUCAAAUGAAAAUAGAUUAGCAAAGAGGGGAAAACUGAAAGCUUGCUGUUAUACUGUAGACAGGUUGGCUGACAUUACGGAAAUGAUACACACGCAUCGGUGUAGCCGCACGUUAUGAUUCUGAAUGGUCAGAUAGCUAGCAACAAUGACAAGAAGCUGCUUUGUGGGGAAUCGUCGGUGGCUUGUUUCAGCUAAUUGUAUCUUGUUAUUGAUACCAUGUCUUGUUUUAAGGUGUUUUGACUGAUUUUAUGUCACUGCUAAUAUGGUCAAAUUUGCUAGCUAGCUAACCAACAAAUGGAAUAAUGUAUGAGAGACAAGUGCUCCUUGUGAAAAUGUAUUUGUUUCAAACAUUUGGAGAAGAAAUAUAGUUCACAUGUUGUCAACAACCAA